CCAUUGGAAACGACAAGCUGUGGUCUGUCUUGGUUUAGUUAAAUCUUUGCUACAGUCAAAUGCGUUUCCUUGUUUAGUUCCACUUCCGCAUCUGACAUAAAGUAACGCUAGACGCUGUAUAAUGAUUUUAUAGCAUAAAUAGUUUGUAUUAAAGUACAUUUUAUAGCGGACUGUUAAAGGACAUGGUUUUGUAAUUGUGCGUGAUCGAAAUUGAUUACCAGGUCUGUUGCAUUUGCAUGACAAAACAGGGGACACGGUGUGCCAUUUAACUAGCUUAGCUUGCUUUUGCUAGCUACUUGAUCAGAACAGCUAGAUUGUAGCCACUUCAACCUACGCUAACGGAAUAGCUGGCUACAUCUUUUCAGAAUGAAGGUGUCCAUGUCCCCCCCACACACAGCGACGUCUGUGUGGCUGUUAGUUCUGGCUGUUCAGCUGGUCUUGUUGGUGUGUGGAGGCCAGGCCAGUGACGAUACCAAGAGAUGUAAGCUGUUCUCUGAGUCCCCAGCAGAACGGAAGGUCCUCAGUCUUCUAGAACCGCUCACUAACAAGACUUUCUCUGUGGGGACGACAAGCGGCAAGGACAACUACACGUACCAGUUCCAGGUGUGUGGGGAUGCUGGGAAAACAGUAGGAGCGGGACUCGUUCAGACGGGAAAAAAAAGUGAGACAGUGCUUGGCCUGUACACUGCAACACAGGCUAUCGGAGGAAGUGACUGGGUGAUGUUGAUCUACAGCAACGGCACCAAGUAUGACACCCACUGUUCCAAGGAGAUGAGGAAAGCCAUCGUCAUGAUCUCUUGCAACAGAGGAGUGGAAAUGGGGAAGCUGGAAGUGGUGUUGGAGGAGAGGGAGAGGGAGAGGGACUGUUUCUAUCUGUUUGAACUGGACUCCAGUGCGGUCUGUCCCGCUCUGCCAUCCCAGCUCAGUGCAGGCUCCAUAAUACUCAUAAUUGGGUUCGUCCUCUUGUCAGUGUACCUCAUUUGUGGAUUCCUUUACCAGCGGUUGAUUGUUGGGGCCAAAGGGUUGCAGCAGUUCCCCAACUAUGUCUUCUGGACGCAGGUUGGCAACCUGGCAGCGCUAUGCCAUGAGUGUUUGCGAGUUGUCAGAUAGUGCAACGGCCGUCUGCACUGAACUAUCUGACGUGAGACGAUGGACGUCACAUAUCUCUCUGGAUGGAUGUAAUUUUGUGUGUAGGACACAGGGCCCCGAAGAGGAACCUCCCACAUACAGGGGUGUGUCCACAGAGCCAGAGGAGCAGCCAGAAGAGAGGGAUGACCACUUGCUUCCCAUGUGAUGUCAGUAGUGGGAGGGAUCUAUCCCGUGUGAAGCUUUUGACGCUUUCGGAUAGAUAUUGCCCUUAGGCACAGAUCUAGGAUCAUCACUUACUCUCUCCAUAAAACUGACCUCAGUUCAGUGUCUAGGCGCAACUUCAUCCUAGUUCAUUUUGACAGUUUCAGGGAUGAGUUUAGAGGUGGGCACACCAGUUUAUGGAAGGCUGGAGGAUCUGUGACAUCUUUGACUCCUCAAUACUUAGUUUGUUAUAUUAGAUGGUAAGUCACCUGCCCUGGUUUGCAUGGCCCAGGCGUCAUUAUUUGGAGGUGGCAACAAAAACCUGGAUACACUUUUUUUUCCCUUUCAUGAACUGGAGUGGCCACCUCUGGAUGCAGAGUGAUGUCUCAAAAACGGACUCUGUUACAUCUGGUUCAUCUGGCACAAUAGGUGUUGUUACUAGUUAACACUGCCACAAAGUCAUGAACCCCACCUAUUUCUACAAUUUAUCUUCUUAAAAUCUGAUUUUUAAACCUAACUAACCUUAACAACACUGAUAACCUGAUGCCUAACCCUGACUUUUAAAUUGAGACCAAAAUAAAAAGGUUGUUUUCAUAAAUUUUCACGAUAGAGCCAAUUUUGACUUUGUGGCUGUCUUAUCUAGUGGAAACCGUAAGGCCUUUCUACAUGACUGACGUGUUAGUGCUGACACAAUGCAACCAUAGGAACAGUUUCUAACACGUGACUCCCAUCCAGUGUUUCAGUAGCUAAUGGCUGUGUACUGACUCGUAGGUCACACUUUAUUUGGCCUUCCCUGUAGCUCAGUUGGUAAAGCAUGGUGUUUGCAACGCCAGGGUUGUGGGUUCGAUUCCCACGGGGGGCCAAGUACGAAGAAAAAAAAAAUGUAUGGAAUGAAAAAAAUGAAAUGUAUGCAUUCACUACUGUAAGUCGCUCUGGAUAAGAGUGUCUGCUAAAUGACUAAAAUGUAAAUUUGAAGGUCUGCUUAUACACUGCUUAGAAUCAUUUUCACAUGGUAAUAUUACAGUAAGUGAAUACGCAGGCUUUUGUUCAUGAUUUAUAUGCUUACAGGUCAUUGUAAUAAAUGGUUUAUACAUUUAAAAUGGUUAGAUAUAUUUACUAUUGUUAAGAAAUAAAUAAACACACUUAGCCUAAAGUUUUCAAAUGGGUAAAAUAUUUUAUAAUGACCUUCAAAUUAAGUUGGACCACAAUACACUGCAGUACAGAGCCAUUUCAACCAAUGCACUGCUAGAGACACACAUUUAGUCCGUGUUACUAUUUUAGAGUAGGAUGCUGACUGGGCCUUGACCAAAAUGUACUUCUGACCCAUUAUACCUUUUCCUUAGCUAUUUGAAGAGUAGGGUUGGAACCUAUUCCAUUGUAAUUCUGUUCCCAUCAGUUCACUUCCUAUGUUGACAAAAUUGAAAUGGCAUUGACCCCAACCAUGGUACUGAGUAGUAGUCUACUAUUAUGCUGUGUUCAUAACCAAGUGGGAAGGUGGUAAUUACCAGUUGUGAAGUUGUAAAUACCAGUUGGAUGCAUUUUACGUUCUUUGAAUUUGUUGAGAAAUGCUGAUUGGCUAAUGGCCAACAAGCGGCAUCAUCUGUAAAUUAAAAGUACAGCUUUCACGCUUGUAAACAAAUUAUAGUGUUAAAAAUCCAUAUUAAUUGUUUUUUAUCAAUAAUGUUUUGUUGCAUUUAACAGCCAAAAAUGCUGUUAUCGAGGUAAUUUUCUUAUAGGUGAUGUCAGAGGUCACCAUGAGGGAGAAGUCGGAGCUCAGAGAUCAUAGACAAGUUUCCCACUAGUUAUUACCAGUUGAAAGGGUGUUCAAGUGGUUAUUUCCCAGUCGUAUGUGGUAAAUACCACCUUCCCACUUGGUUAUGAAUGCAGCAUUAAUGAUACUGAGGACAUUGAUGAUGAUUUUGUAAUAUAAUGCUGUGAUUGAACAAGUCCUUCAUAAGGCAACAGAAGGCACUUUGUGUUCAACAGUAAAAUGGAGGAACUUAAGUAAUUUAUAUAAUCAAGAAAAAUACACAUGUACUGUCUGUGACAUGUGGGUGAAUGUUUUUUUUAUUUUGUUUUUGCUUCUUUGUGAUGUUUUUAAAACAAACAAAAAACUUGGCCCAUGGCACUCGCUUAGUUCAAUGAAGACCUGAAAGAUGGCAUUAGUUAGACCCGACCCAGGACAACAGGUCCCAAUGAGAUGUGACGAAAUGGAUCAGAACUAAACCAGGUCUGGGUUCAAUGGAUUUGGUCAGUUCUGACUUUGGCUUUAGUUUGUGAUGCUAUUUGUACUUGCAGAUGAGGGGAAGAGUAAAAGAGAAUUUGUUUAGUUUGUUUUGCGCUUUUGCAUCAACAUUAAAUAUGAAUAAAGUGUUUGAUUACAGUUCUGAAUCUGUCAUGUAUGACACGUUUUAGUGUGCUGGCGUGUUAGCAGGGGCAGUUAACUCUAAGCAACACAAUGUAAAACAUAAUAAAAAUAUUUUUAAAACAA